CCUACGGGAUGCAGCAGUGGGGAAUAUUGGACAAUGGGCGAAAGCCUGAUCCAGCAAUGCCGCGUGUGUGAAGAAGGUCUUCGGAUUGUAUAGCACUUUCGACGGGGACGAUGAUGACGGUACCCGUAGAGGAAGCCCCGGCUAACUUCGUGCCAGCAGCCGCGGUAAUACGAAGGGGGCUAGCGAUGCUCGGAAUGACUGGGCGUAAAGGGCGCGUAGGCGGUUUAUGCAGUCAGAUGUGAAAUCCCCGGGCUUAACCUGGGAACUGCAUUUGAGACGCAUAGACUAGAGGUCGAGAGAGGGUUGUGGAAUACCCAGUGUAGAGGUGAAAUUCGUAGAUACUGGGAAGAACACCGGUGGUGAAGGCGGCAACCUGGCUCGAUACUGACGCUGAGGCGCGAAAGCGUGGGGGGCAAACAGGAUUAGAUACCCUCGUAGUC
rnacentral:rRNA from 1 species